rnacentral:rRNA from 1 species
CAGUCGCCGCGGUAAUACGGAGGGUGCAAGCGUUAAUCGGAAUUACUGGGCGUAAAGCGUGCGCAGGCGGUUAUAUAAGUCAGAUGCGAAAUCCCCGGGCUCAACCUGGGAACUGCAUUUGAGACUGUAUGGCUAGAGUGUGUCAGAGGGGGGUAGAAUUCCACGUGUAGCAGUGAAAUGCGUAGAUAUGUGGAGGAAUACCGAUGGCGAAGGCAGCCCCCUGGGAUAACACUGACGCUCAUGCACGAAAGCGUGGGGAGCAAACAGGAUUAGAGACCCCUGUAGUCCCUGUCUCUUAUAC